UCUCUCCAAGGAGAAGCCUCCCAGGCCUCUACAUGGGUCGUUGCUAGCUGGUGAGGCUCGACAGUGUCCCGGGCACCGGAGAGGAGGCCGGCGGAGGAGGUGAAUCGAAGAGGUCCUGAGGGACAUAGGGACGGCUGAGGUGGUGGCGGCUGGAGAGGCCCCUAUAGGCUCCAGGAGGCGGUUGGCUGCUGGUUACCGGGAACUGCCGCAGUGUUUUGCUUUGAGGAACCACUUUGUCGGUGUGGUGAUGGGUCGCGCGCGGUGGGUCAAAAAUAAAGAAUAUACAAAGUACAACAAACACCGCAAUCUAAACAAUACAAGAACAAUUAGAAUCAUUACUCAAAAAUUUUAGCGGCAAGGCAAUGCAAACAAAAGCGAAAGCAGCGAUAGAUAAUUUUAUUAAAAAGCCAGAAGAAAACUACAAUUCGGAAUGCAGACUUGAU
rnacentral:lncRNA from 1 species